rnacentral:rRNA from 1 species
GUGGGGAAUAUUGGGCAAUGGGCGCAAGCCUGACCCAGCAACGCCGCGUGAAGGAAGAAGGCUUUCGGGUUGUAAACUUCUUUUACCAGGGACGAAACAAAUGACGGUACCUGGUGAAUAAGCCACGGCUAACUACGUGCCAGCAGCCGCGGUAAUACGUAGGUGGCGAGCGUUAUCCGGAUUUAUUGGGUGUAAAGGGCGUGUAGGCGGGACAGCAAGUCAGAUGUGAAAACCAGAGGCUCAACCUCUGGCCUGCAUUUGAAACUGUUGUUCUUGAGUGUCGGAGAGGUAAUCGGAAUUCCGUGUGUAGCGGUGAAAUGCGUAGAUAUACGGAGGAACACCAGUGGCGAAGGCGGAUUACUGGACGAAAACUGACGCUGAGGCGCGAAAGCCAGGGGAGCGAACGGGAUUAGAAACCCGAGUAGUCC